UACAGAGGUCUCAAGCGUUGUUCGGAUUCAUUGGGCGUAAAGGGUGCGUAGGUGGCGCCGUAAGUCAGGUGUGAAAUUUCGGAGCUCAACUCCGAAACUGCAUUUGAUACUGCGGUGCUUGAGGACUGGAGAGGAGACUGGAAUUCACGGUGUAGCAGUGAAAUGCGUAGAUAUCGUGAGGAAGACCAGUGGCGAAGGCGGGUCUCUGGACAGUUCCUGACACUGAGGCACGAAGGCUAGGGGAGCAAACGGG
rnacentral:rRNA from 1 species